AAGCGUGUAGGUGUGUGUUCCAGGUAAAUCCGGUUCACUUUAACACUGAGGCGUGAUGACGAGGCACUACGGUGCUGAAGCAACAAAUGCCCUGCUUCCAGGAAAAGCCUCUAAGCAUCAGGUAACAUCAAAUCGUACCCCAAACCGACACAGGUGGUCAGGUAGAGAAUACCAAGGCGCUUGAGAGAACUCGGGUGAAGGAACUAGGCAAAAUGGUGCCGUAACUUCGGGAGAAGGCACGCUGACACGUAGGUGAAGUGAUUUACUCACGGAGCUGAAGUCAGUCGAAGAUACCAGCUGGCUGCAACUGUUUAUUAAAAACACAGCACUGUGCAAACACGAAAGUGGACGUAUACGGUGUGACGCCUGCCCGGUGCCGGAAGGUUAAUUGAUGGGG
rnacentral:rRNA from 1 species